AAGUCGUAACAAGGUUUCUGUAGGUGAACCUGCAGAAGGAUCAUUCGUGUAAUCAUGAGAGGUACUUGAUCGCAAGAUCGGGUUACUAAUCGUACACUUUGUGAACUUUAAAAACAUUGGUGAUUCAGCAGUGUCUUUGAGAGAUUCAUUCUCUCAUUGGCAAUAAGCGAGCGCCAGGGGACUUUGCUAACCAAACCAUUACAUUAUUGCCUAAAACUUUAAGUGAAUUAACAUAUAACCUUUAACAAUGGAUCUCUUGGCUCCU
rnacentral:misc_RNA from 1 species